rnacentral:rRNA from 1 species
AACGUAGGACGCAAGCGUUAUCCGGAGUUACUGGGCGUAAAGCGCGGGCAGGCGGUUGGUCAAGUCUGAUGUGAAAUCUCUCCGCUCAACGGGGAGCAGCCAUUGGAAACUGGUCGACUGGAGUCUGGCAGAGGUAGGCGGAAUUCCGGGUGGAGUGGUGAAAUGCGUAGAGAUCCGGAGGAACACCAGAGGCGAAGGCGGCCUACUGGGCCAGUACUGACGCUGAGCCGCGAAAGCCAGGGGAGCGAACGGG